CCAACGUGAAUACCCUGGGAAGUCACUCUCCCCGGGCUCUGUCCUGGUGGCGUAGGGGAGCAUAGGGUUCUGCCCAGUGAUGUACAGUCCCAUUCCAUGACGUUGGAGAGGAAGCCGGGCCUCAUGCCUGCACCUACAUAUUCCUACAGCUUCUCAGUCCUAUGGACAAUGCCUGAGGAGACAAACCAUGUAGGAAACAUAU
rnacentral:snoRNA from 1 species